rnacentral:rRNA from 2 species
GCGCGAAACCUCCGCAAUGCACGCAAGUGCGACGGGGGAACCCCAAGUGCCACUCUUAACGGGGUGGCUUUUCAGAAGUGUAAAAAGCUUCUGGAAUAAGGGCUGGGCAAGACCGGUGCCAGCCGCCGCGGUAACACCGGCAGCUCAAGUGGUAGCCGCUUUUAUUGGGCCUAAAGCGUCCGUAGCCGGUCUGAUAAGUCUCUGGUGAAAUCCCACAGCUUAACUGUGGGAAUUGCUGGAGAUACUAUCAUGACUCGAGGUCGGGAGAGGCUGGAGGUACUCCCAGGGUAGGGGUGAAAUCCUGUAAUCCUGGGAGGACCACCUGUGGCGAAGGCGUCCAGCUGGAACGAACCUGACGGUGAGGGACGAAAGCCAGGGGCGCGAACCGG